ACUCCUACGGGAGGCAGCAGUGGGGAAUCUUAGACAAUGGGCGCAAGCCUGAUCUAGCCAUGCCGCGUGAGUGAUGAAGGCCCUAGGGUCGUAAAGCUCUUUCGCCUGUGAUGAUAAUGACAGUAGCAGGUAAAGAAACCCCGGCUAACUCCGUGCCAGCAGCCGCGGUAAUACGGAGGGGUUAGCGUUGUUCGGAAUUACUGGGCGUAAAGCGCACGUAGGCGGAUCAGAAAGUUGGGGUGAAAUCCCGGGGCUCAACCCCGGAAC
rnacentral:rRNA from 1 species